AGUGGGGAAUAUUGCACAAUGGGGGAAACCCUGAUGCAGCAACGCCGCGUGAGUGAUGAAGGUCUUCGGAUCGUAAAGCUCUGUCUUCAGGGACGAUAAUGACGGUACCUGAGGAGGAAGCCACGGCUAACUACGUGCCAGCAGCCGCGGUAAUACGUAGGUGGCGAGCGUUGUCCGGAUUUACUGGGCGUAAAGGGAGCGUAGGCGGAUUUUUAAGUGAGAUGUGAAAUACCCGGGCUCAACUUGGGUGCUGCAUUUCAAACUGGAAGUCUAGAGUGCAGGAGAGGAGAGUGGAAUUCCUAGUGUAGCGGUGAAAUGCGUAGAGAUUAGGAAGAACACCAGUGGCGAAGGCGACUCUCUGGACUGUAACUGACGCUGAGGCUCGAAAGCGUGGGGAGCAAA
rnacentral:rRNA from 1 species